CCUACGGGAUGCAGCAGUAGGGAAUAUUGCUCAAUGGGGGAAACCCUGAAGCAGCAACGCCGCGUGGAGGAUGAAGGUUUUCGGAUUGUAAACUCCUUUUGUUAGAGAAGAUAAUGACGGUAUCUAACGAAUAAGCACCGGCUAACUCCGUGCCAGCAGCCGCGGUAAUACGGAGGGUGCAAGCGUUACUCGGAAUCACUGGGCGUAAAGAGCGCGUAGGCGGGAUAGCAAGUCAGAUGUGAAAUCCUAGGGCUUAACCAUAGAACUGCAUUUGAAACUGUUAUUCUAGAGUAUGGGAGAGGUAGGUGGAAUUCUUGGUGUAGGGGUAAAAUCCGUAGAGAUCAAGAGGAAUACUCAUUGCGAAGGCGACCUGCUAGAACAUAACUGACGCUGAUGCGCGAAAGUGUGGGGAGCAAACAGGAUUAGAUACCCUUGUAGUC
rnacentral:rRNA from 1 species